CCGUGACUAAUAAUCAUGGUUCAUGACGGUAUCAACAGAAGAAGCACCGGCUAACUACGUGCCAGCAGCCGCGGUAAUACGUAGGGUGCAAGCGUUAAUCGGAAUUACUGGGCGUAAAGGGUGCGCAGGCGGUUCUGUAAGUCAGAUGUGAAAUCCCCGGGCUUAACCUGGGAACUGCGUUUGAAACUGCAGAGCUAGAGUGCGGCAGAGGGAGGUGGAAUUCCAUGUGUAGCAGUGAAAUGCGUAGAGAUAUGGAAGAACAUCGAUGGCGAAGGCAACCUCCUGGGCUAGCACUGACGCUCAUGCACGAAAGCGUGGGGAGCAAACAGGAUUAGAUACCCUGGUAGUCCACGCCCUAAACUAUGUCAACUAGUUGUCGGGCCUUAAUAGGCUUGGUAACGUAGCUAACGCGUGAAGUUGACCGCCUGGGGAGUACGGUCGCAAGAUUAAAACUCAAAGGAAUUGACGGGGACCCGCACAAGCGGUGGAUUAUGUGGAUUAAUUCGAUGC
rnacentral:rRNA from 1 species